AGCUCCCCGAGAACAAAGCUGUGCAUGAGGUCAGGAGGCGCAGAGAGCGAACCGGAGCAGCGCCGUGCUGACGAGAGCCAGGAGUUGGCUGUGGGAGAGAGCAGGGUUAUUGCUUGAUGGGUGGUGGGGAGAUAGGAGGGAAAGGGACCAGGACAGCCAAAACUGGCACGUGGACCCCCUGCCCAUUCCCCACACUGGCAGACAUCACUAAUCGCCCUGCCUGACCCUGCUGAGUCUUCUCAUUGGGCAGCCCAGAGAGAGUUGGCUGGUGCGAGGAGCCUGUUGUUCAUGCCUGGGCUUGCACACACACUUGAAGGACCAUGAGAGGGAAUCCCGGGAAGGGACGAGUGAAGGCACAGAGAGAGGUGGCCUGGAGGAGCCAGGGCCUCCCCUCCUUGCAGCCAUGGCCUUAGGAGGGGCGGAGUGCUCUGUGUGUGAGUCUGGGCUUACCCGAUGCUAGAGCAGGUCCCUCCCUGCUUCAGGUCAUGCUGUGCAAAAGCCCAAGAGGGUGUCAGCUACUGCUGCCACGCAGACAUGGGCGUGCUCACCGUGGCCCACCAUCUGGCUGUCCCAAGGAGGCACAGCAGGUUUCCUGUUACCUUGGCACACUGGCAUGGGGGUGGCAUCUGCCUGUAGGUUCCGACGGCAGAACCUGCAAGCAGAACAAGGAGUUGUGGCUUGCUGGGGAGACUUCAGGAAGACACUGGUGUGAUUCAGCAGCUGAACCUCCAGGGGCCUGUUGAUUGCAUCAGUGGCAGUGCAGGGGCAAGGCUAGAGGAGGGAAGGUGGCUCUGCACGCUCAGUGGCUACAUCUUGUGUGGAGCAGUGGAGAAAGCAGACUCGUGGGCAGAGUGCACUGCAGAAAGUGGCCAGGGUGCACAGCAGUCCAAGCAGGGCGCCCAUCUGGAAGGAGUGCUCCAAGGAGCUCAGGCCGAGGAGUUAGGGGAUCAUUUCUUUUAAAAGAUGUAUUUAUUUAUUAGAAAGUCAGAGUUACACACAGAGAGAAGGAGAGGCAGAGAGAGAGAGAGAGAGAGAGAGAGAGAGAGAGGUCUUCCAUCCUCUGGUUUACUCUCCAGAUGGCUGCAACAGCCAGAGCUGAGCUGAUCUGAAGCCAGGAACCAGUAGCUUUCUCCAGGUCUCCCACGUGGGUGCAGCGGCCCAAGCACUUGGGCCAUCUUCUACUGCUUUCCCAGGUACAUUAGCAGAGAGCUGCAUCAGAAGUGGAGCAGCCAGGACUCGAACCAGCACCCACAUGGGAUGCCGGCUCUGCAGGAGGCGGCCUCACCCACUACGCCAGAGCGCCAGCCCCAGGUGAUCAUUUUUAACCUGCUGAAUCCAUGUUUCUCAAAAUAUGCUUCUUGGCAUGCUAGUUUCUUGAGGUUGUUCUGGACGGUCCCACCGAGUGCGUGGGAGCGCAGUAAAGGCUCUGAGAAGUCCUGCAGUGAGGAACGGUGCUGAGCAUAGAAUUUCCCCAGACAUGGUCAGGCACAGGAACUCUGUCAGUUCAACAGCAGUUUUCCUCCUGCAGAACAGGGGCCCACCUGGGGCAGAGAGAGCCACGUGUCCUGUGUGGUCCCCGAGGUGGUGUCUGGGCCAACAUGGGGACAUGGCCAAAGGCAGAUUUGGGCUCAUUUCCAGGAAGAGCCUUGCCACAGCAGCAGGGGUUUGACCCUGCGAGUGAGAAGGGGUUCUAAAUUCUUUUUUUUUUUUUUUUUGACAGGCAGAGUUAGAGAGAGAGAGAGACAGAGAGACAGAGAGACAGAGAGACAGAGAGAAAGGUCUUCCUUUUCCACUGGUUCACCCCCUAAAUGGCCACUACAGCCGGCGCACUGCGCCGAUCCGAAGCCAGGAGCCAGGUGUUUCUCCUGGUCUCCCAUGGGGUGCAGGGCCCAAGCACUUGGGCCAUCCUCCACUGCCUUCCCGGGCCACAGCAGAGAGCUGGACUGGAAGGGGAGCCACCGGGACAGAAUCCGGCACCCCAGUGGGGACUAGAACCCCGGGGUGCUGGCGCCACAGGCGGAGGAUUAGCCAAGUGAGCCACAGGACACCAAGAGGCCUCAAGCCGAGUGUGGGCUCAUCAGGGAUGCCGCAGAAGGGACCAGGCUCUAGGUGCUGUCAUUGUUGAUGCCCAGGGUUCUGUGAGCCCUGGGUUAGGGGCCCCCUGGCUGCCCAGCAGGAGACUCUGCCCACAGAGCCUGCAGCUUGGCACGCAGUGCUGGGUGCCCCGGCCAGGAGCGGGGAUGCUGGACGUGAACAUUCAGGGAAGGUAAGACGUGAGCCCGCAAAUACCCUCGGGACAUCCCCAGUGCACAUCCCGAACUUUCCGUAGCCCGGGCAGCAGCUGGAGACGCCCACAGCCCUAAUUGCUUUUCUGGGCUAAGAGAACAUCCUCUCUCCAGCUCUCCUCCUGUUCAUUUAGGUGACUACUGGAGGGAGCCAGCUGCAGAGGGUGCCGCCACGAGGAUUGGACGCUGUGGGGGGUGGGGCUGGAAGCCCAAGGCUCCCCUCCCGGGGUGCGGGGUCCUGAGGACAGGAAGCUGCCGCCCUGAUCUCCGUGGCUGAUCUGCAGACUGACGGAGCUGCCUCUUCUCCAGGGACUUGAGAUUCAGAGUCUGGGGAAGGACCAGGUACAGGCACGGGGCUGGGCCGGGUGGAGGGGAUGACUCACCCCACCGCGUUGCUCAGGGUGCCAGCUGAGUCUCACGCUGGGCUGCUGGGGCACAGAGCCCAGCCCCAAAGCUCACAGGCCAGGGAGAAAGCAUCUCUGAGCAAGGAAAGGGCUGAGGUUGAGGGUCACUUUCAGGACUGGGGUGUACGGAGGAUGGCGACAUUGACUGUGUCUUGGGGACGGAGGGUCAGGGAGGACUUCCUGGGAGAAGAGACAGUGGGAUCGGGUCUGGCAAUUGUGCAUGAUUCAGAGAGGAAAGAGUUGCCUGCGCUCAGGGGUUUUUGCAACAGAGGGCCCAGUUUCCUGUGGGCUUCCCGGCCCCCAGAUGCCAUGUGCUCUGUGCCCUGGCCUCCUAGUCUCUAGUGGUCACACAGGCCUCCUGCAGACCCUCCUUGAGGCUUCCAUUAUAGCAACUCUCAGCGGAGAGUGGCUUGCUGGAAGCUGGGCCCUGGAUGGCUGGCCGGGGUGGGUGCCACGGGACCCCCGGGGCGGUGGAGGGGAGGACUGAGCCUCUCUUACGAGGGACCCUGGGGAGGGCGGCGGCCCCAGGCGCUCUGCCCAUCAGGCUUCCUGUGGGUGGCAAGUGAACCUUUUCUUUCUGGUUCUCUCCCAGAAGCCGGCUCCGUUCCCCCAGCCCCAAGUGGCGGCUCCUUGGGCCGGAAGCAAUGUGCUUUCUCCACGCCUUAAGAGUGGAAGUCACAGUUUGGCACCGUCUGGCUGGCAGCCUCCACCGGCUUCCUUUGGCACUUUAUUGGCAAAGGCGGUGACAUUUCUUUCAGUUGGGUGGGUGGAGCUGUUAUGCAAACGCCCGCUCUCCUCAUUCGCCGGAUGAAUAUUCAUGACUCAGGCAAUCUGUACCAGCCAGACUUUCCUGAGGGCGGCAGCUUUUCUUCUCUUCCUCUCCCUCUUUUUCUUUCUCCUUCUCUCCUUCCCAGCUCUCUGGAAAGCCCAAGUGCGGCUAUAUUUAAUUUACAAAUACAGAGCUGUUUAGCUUGCCUUUUGCGAUGCAGGCUUUGAGGAGGCGGUGCAGGGGAGUGGGAGCCGUGGUUGGUGGAGGCCCUGGGUCCUGACCCUGUGUCUGCAGGCCCCAGCACACAGCACCUGAGCCCUGGAUCCCGGGAAGCCUCUGAGCCGGGCCUGAGAGCACAGUGGCUUGUGCCACCCUGUCCCACGCUGGCCUCUGGGGUUGAUGGGAAAUUCGGAAGCCAUGCUGCUCUCCUGCCAGGCCCCACCAAGGCAUCACGGCUUGUGUGUCUGCUAAGGCUCACUGCCCCCCAUCCCCAACCCCGCUCCAAGCUCCAGGGCCAAGUCCAAGUCCAGAAGGCACUGGGCCAUUUGCUGGUGACUGGCUUCCCAGGAUCCCUAUCUGGGGCCCAAUUCCUUGGGAAUAUGCCGCACCCUUUCCUGCCUCCUUUGUCUCUUCCCAAAGAGGCUCUGGGAACUCCACCGGCAGAGGGGUCAGAAUUCCAAGAAUUUGCCAGGAGAUUCGCUUUUCGCAAGGAUGUGCUUGUGUGAGUGCGUCUUGUGUGUGUGUAAAUAUUUACGCACAGCGCAAGUGAGUCUGUAUGCCUACAUCUAUGUGUGUGUGUGUGUGUGUGUGUGUGUGUGUAAGGGCGUGAAUGUGUGUGUCGCAGGAAGGCUGGAAAUGUCUGCCUGUGCGAAUGUGCCUCUCCUGUCGGAGUUGCCUGGGUCCCUCAGUGGGUCUGUGGCUGUCGUGUGGAAGGGUGCCUGGGGGGGGGAGUGUGUGCAUGUAUGCUUGUGUGUGCACAUGUGUGUGUGUGAGUAUAUAAAAGGGACCCUCGGGAGGUGGGGGGGAGGUAGGGUGCAUUUCCCUCCCCACCCUCCGUCCCUGGGAGGUGGAGGGGGACAGUCCCCUUCCCACGGGUCACAGAUUCCACCCGAGGACAGGAGCCAGCAGGCUUCGCAGCACACAGCGUCCUGAAGGCACUUGACAUUGCCUCCCCUCUUUGUUUCCUCUCAGGAAAAUAGUGGGGCGUUGGGCUCCCCCUUCUCCCCACCAGGAGGGCACGGGGUGCCCGUGCCUCUGACCCCCCGGGAGAGCACCUUGCGCCCCAGCCAAGGAGCUGUCUCGCAGGGCUCCUUGUGCCACGGCGGCCCGGGCCUCAGUGGCGAGAGCCAGCUGCCUCCCUGUGUGCCAGCAACUGCCAAGCUCUUCCAGAAUCCACAUCCAGGCCUGGCCUCCCUUACAGAUAUGCAAAUUUGCAUCUUUUCUGGUAUGCAAAUGGAGACGUGACAAACAGCUAAUUAGGGUCAAAAGAAGCACUCAGAACCAAUUAGUUGGAGGGUCCAGCCCUUUCUGCCAGGAGAAGGCUGGGCCUUCCAGCUCUGCUCCCAGCUCUGACUCCUCGUUGCCCACGCACCCCGGCAUGGCCUGGCCCGUGGGAGCCUUGCCUUCCAAGAGCACUGGAACAGGAGUCCACGCUGGGGUCCCGGCCCCGCCUCUGACUCUUGGCGGCCUGACCCUGGGCUCACAUUUGCCCAGGCCUGGGUCUUUGCCUCUGUGAGAGGCAGCAGUGACAGUGCCCCUUCCCCCUGGCCAUCUGCCACACUGUCGUCUGAAUUGGGAGCGCUCGAGCCUUAACAGUCUCCGCAAACUGGACCCAACUUUCUCUGCCAGCCAGCACAGAAAAGACUUUACACAACUAGAGAACAGGAAGACUUGUCCAUCGGCCAGCAGCCAGCCCCUGUCCUCAGUUGUCUUACGCAUUCACAGUGGACCAGAGAGUAGCACAGCGGUCAGGAUGGAAGCCAUGCCCAGCCCGAACAGCACGGGCCCCCUCUAGCUAGUGAAGCUCCCAGAUGUAUGACCCGGGGCAGCAGAGACUAACAUCAGCGUGCUGCUGGUCCUGGUAGGGAAUGACCAGCCAUCUGGGACAACUGUCCCUGAAGACAACAGUGAAGUGUGCUUACUGAGACGGACAAAUAUUCAGACAUGCCCACGGUGCUGACGCUGGCACUCACUGGCUGAGCUUCCAGAGUGUUUGACUUGGUGACGUGGACUCUCACACAUCGUCCUCUCGGAUUGAGACUCCCAGUGGACACUGGGAGAUGCUGGUCCUAUUAUACACCACGUGACUCAGAAGCUGCUGCCUGGUAGAAUGUUGGAAUGGUCUCUUCAAAACUCAGCGAAGGUGGCAGCUCUAAGGCUGGGAUUCUGUUCUCCGGGAUGUGGUACAUGAGGUCACUUCAAACAGUUCCUGAAAAAAUGGAAUGGAAAGAUAGAUGGGAAAGAGAAGUUUGCAGAGGUGGAAAUGACGAUACAGUUAAGAAUGAACAUGAUAAUCGAGCUAAGAAGAAUGAGAACCGGCCAAGUCUUCUGACUUCACAUCCCACACUUCCCAGCGCUCAUCUCAUGGAAGGCUUAGGUUUGGUUGAGUUGGUUCAUCUGGCUUAGGCCAGCAGCAGUGCCAAAAGGUGCAACUCAAGUUGUAGGAGAGAGGAUACACCUGCCAACUCAGCCAGGGAGGUGUGUGUGUGUGUGUGUGUGUGUGUGUGUGUGUUUUGCAGGGUGAGGCUAAAAUACUGAAACAUUCUCCCCAAGUCUCCGAGUCCCCAGUCCAUAGAAGGUGUAUUUUUGUCCCAUCCUUUCAACACCCUUCCAAGUCCAUCCCACUGAGAUUUAUUGUCUCAAAGGCCCUCUCCGACAGAAGCUGAUUUCAAAUCAAAGAGAAAAGCCAUCCCUUUAGCAUGGGUCUUUGUAUUCCGCAGUCCAACCCAAGUCAUCCGAAUAGAUCAAGACCUGGAGGAGGUCUGACGUCAGAACUCCGGUUUAGUUCUCUGUUGCUCUAUGACUUUGAGUGACCCCAGUUAUUCUCUGUCUCUCUCUGGGCCGCAGUUUCCCCACCAGUCCCAGAGGAGAGUCGCUCCGGCCGGACACUCCAUCACUCAAGGUUGCCCCCAUGCCUCCUACUCUGAGGGCAGGAGGGAGGGGUUACGGGGCAGUGGCAUCAAUUUCCUUCCUGGGAUGGCUCCUCUGAGCGCCAUAUUUCUUGCCUGUAGUGACCAGGGAAUUUUGCCCUAUUGAUUGUUUUCUGUAAUCGAGCUUAACAAAUAGAACUUCCCUCAAAUGAUUCUUCCAACUAAACUGAUAGAAAGCUAACCUUGUUAUAUUUAUUGACAGAACAUUGAAAUAAAUAUUAUAGGUCUAGAGGGAAUGUUUCAGCUCAUUGAUUUUUUUAAGGAAAUAAUAAAUGGAGCCUAUUCCCUUUGGCAUAUUAUGCUGGGAAUAAUCUGAAAAAAUGCUUAGCUUGUUCAACACAGAGCUUAGAAACCUUCCUUCCACUCCCAGUGGAGCCGGGGCCCUUUGCAUAAAUCUGCUCUGGCCCAGACAAUCAAUUUUCAAUUUUAAUUAUUUUCAAAACUCGUUUAUUAUUUGCUUGUUCUGUGAGUUGGGAGCUUCUCUUUCUUAGUGAGUUUGCAGUCAGAGUGGUUUGACCUCUGGCCUGGAUCUGGGUGCUUGGGGUUUCUUAGUUCUACCUACAGAGAGGAAAACUCACCACCCCUCUUGUCAAGGACUUUUGUUCUAGAACAGAGGUCUGCAAACUGUGUCCCAUGGGCCCAACCCAGCCGACUGCCUGUUUUGUAAAUAAUUUUCUUUUAAGAUUUAUUUAUUGGGGCCGGCACUGUCAUAUAGUGGGUAAAGCCACUGCCUGCAGUGUUGGCAUCCCAUAUGGGUGCUGGUUCAAAACCUGGCUACUCCACUUCUGAUCCAGUUCUCUGCUACGGCCUGGGGAAGCAGUAGAAGAUGGCCCAAGUCCUUGAGCCCCUGCACCCAUGUGGGAGACCUGGAAGAAGCUCCUGGCUCCUGGCUUCGGAUUGGUGCAGCUCCAGCCGUUGCGGCCAUCUGGGGAGUGAACCAACAGAUGGAAGACCUCUCUCUCUCUCUCUGCCUCUCCCUCUCUCUCUGUUUAACGUGACUUUCAAGUAAAAAAUAAAAAUAAAUCUUUAAAAAUGAUUUAUUUAUUUAUUUGAAAGGCAGAGUUACAGCAAAAGAGAGAGAGAGAGAGAGAGAGAGAGAGAUCUCCUAUCCCCUGGUUCACUCUCCAAAUGUCUGCAACCAGCAGCCAGGAAUGGUCCAGGCUGAAGCCAGAAGCCAUAAGCUUCAUCUGGGUCUCCUACAUAUGUGCAGGGACCCAAGCACUUGGGCCAUCUUCUGCUGCUUUCCCAGGCUCAUUAGCAGGGAUUGGAAGUGGAGCAGCUGGGACUCAAACCAGUGCUCAUAUAGGAUGCCAAUGUCACAGGCAGCGCCCUAACUGCUAGGCCACAAACACCGGCCUCUGUGCAUAGUCAGUUCCGGGAAGACAGUCACACCCUUUGUGGGCAUGGCGUGUCGUCUGUGAAUGGUUUCUGCCACCGUGGCAGGGGCAAGCAGUCACAGUAGGAAACAAACGGCCCCCGAUGCCCGAAAUCUCUACUCUCUUGGUCCUCUGCAGCAAAGUUUGUGGACCCCUAUUCUAGAAUUUUCUCUCUCAGAGUCCAGCAUGUGUCACCCACUACAAUGGCCUGGAUAAGAGCCGGCUCCCAAAUUCACGCAGAGAGUAAAACCUGAAGGCCAGAAGUUGAUGGUGCUAAGAGCAGAGAAGAAAUGCAGUUGAUGUGGUUAGGCCUGGUGGGCAGGCCCUCGGUGCCUGGGGCGCGCCCAGGGAAGGUUGGGGGAAGCCUGAGCGGGCCCCGCCUUGCUCUCUGCUGCCUGGCUCGUCGUGGAGCCUUCUCUGCGCCUCGCCUGUGUCGUCCACCACCCUCGCCAGAGGCCCAGCAGUGCAGGCUGUCCCAGCUUGGACCUGAACCUCCAAAACUGUGAGCUAAAUAAAUCUUUUGUAUUUAUGAAGGUGGUUGCCUUGGGCGUUUUGUUGUAGCACUGAGAAGUGGCUCAUGCACCCACUCACUUGGGAGGAUCUCCCUGCACAGAGCGGAUCCCACCAUAGCAAUGUAGCCCACCCUUGCAUGGUGUUCUCAGGGGGUCUCGGGUGCUCGGCAAUUUGCUAUCUGUAUCUUAUUAAGGGUGACACAUAGCAUAUUAAGGGUGACAUAUAUAUAUAUAUAUAAAUAUAUUAAUUUUCAUAUCUUUAGAACUACAUUAUGAGACAAGGCUGUUAUUAGUUCUGUUGCAAACAUGAAGAAACCGAGGCACGGACAAGUUAGGGAACACACCCAGUGCCACAGAGCAGGAACUUAGACCCAGGCAGACUGGCUGCAGCCAUAGUGUCAGAGGUGGUGGCUUCUCAGAGAAGGUCUGGGUCAAUGUCCCCAAAGUACAUAUGGGGACACCAAGGCGAAAGUAGCCGCCGUGUAGUCGGUGGUCGGUGGUAGAGUGGAAGUAGAAAUGCAGACAGCAUCAGUUCCAGGCCCUGGCCCUUUCUGUCACUGGGGUCCAAGGGUUCUGCUCAGCUUCUCCUUAUUAGAGUUAAGCUGGGGGAUGCAAAGACUGUGGAAGCAGAGCCUACCACUCCCCCCGCCCCCCGUCUUCCACCCCAGCGAGACUCUGAGGCCGGAGAGUCUGUGACAUCAGCCUGUACUUUUCUUUUUCACCUUCUCAUGUUGGUGGAGGGAUUUGCUCCCUGGCUUGAGGCUUCUUGCUUUGGGCCACCUUUCGGGACCUGCGUGGUCGUUAGCUGUCCCCUGGGAGAAAAGACCACCCAUGGAGACUCACAUGCAGCCAGGGUCUGGGCUACACAUCUGCUGGUCUUCCCCAGUGAAAGAGAAACCAUUCCUCGACCCUUGGCCUUCCUGGCUUACCCUGUCUUUGGCCUCUGAUCCACGGUCAAGCACGGGGUGGAACGAGGUUCUACCCUGUUGCUGUCUCCAUAGUGGCAGGGGCAAGUAGUCGCAAUAGGAAAUGUCGCAUCCAUAGCUCACCACACUGCCAUCUGGGGCCCAUCCAGACCCCCUUUCCGAGGCUGCUCUGAGGAGGCCCCCGAAGAUCCCCAAGUUGCAGGGCAGUGCUUGCUGGUCUGAGUCUCCAGGGUCUCUCCUGCCGUCGACACUGGCAGCCCCCCGCUUCUCCUCACCUGUUCUCCUCCCUCGCCACACUCACCUUCUCAGCGCCAUUUUUCUGGUUCUGUUUUGUGCUUUCUGUUACAUUUUGGGCACCCAUGGCCCUCGUCUUAUCCCAUUGAGGAUGAGGCCACACCUCCACCCACUUACACUCACUCUUCCACCUUGUCCCCAAAUCUCCAGCAGCCACCUACAUUCCCUGCCUGGACUCCAAAAUGCACUAACGACCGGACUCACCUGCGAGCCCCUCAGGAGCUUCAAAACCAAGUUCCCAGCACUGGGCUCACGUAGCCCCUCCCCUAAAUGACCAGUAUUGAUGAAUUUUCAUCAGUCACCAAGCUGCUCAAGCCCAGGGCUUCUGCUGACUCAUCACCUGUCUAGCAGGAUCUGCUGAUCCUGGUUCUUAAAUAUUUCACAUUUAUUUUCUCCGUUUCACACUUUUUUAAAAAAAAAUUAUUUAUUCAUUUGAAAGUUACAGAGAGAGAGAGAGA